rnacentral:rRNA from 1 species
CGCGUUGUGUGAAGAAGGCCUUCGGGUUGUAAAGCACUUUCAGCUGUGAGGAAAGGCGAGUGGUUAAUACCCGCUUGCUGUGACGUUAACAGCAGAAGAAGGACCGGCUAACUCCGUGCCAGCAGCCGCGGUAAUACGGAGGGUCCGAGCGUUAAUCGGAAUUACUGGGCGUAAAGCGCGCGUAGGUGGUUCAGUCAGUCAGAUGUGAAAGCCCCGGGCUCAACCUGGGAACUGCACCUGAUACUGCUGAGCUAGAGUACGGUAGAGGGUAGUGGAAUUUCCGGUGUAGCGGUGAAAUGCGUAGAGAUCGGAAGGAACACCAGUGGCGAAGGCGACUACCUGGACCGAUACUGACACUGAGGUGCGAAAGCGUGGGUAGCAAACAGGAUUAGAUACCCUGGUAGUCCACGCCGUAAACGAUGUCAACUA